rnacentral:rRNA from 1 species
AUGAAGCUGGAAUUGCUAGUAAUGGCAGGUCAGCAUACUGCCGUGAAUACGUUCCCGGGCCUUGUACACACCGCCCGUCACACCAUGAGAGUUGGGAAUACCCGAAGCCUGUGAGCUAACUUUUAGAGGCAGCAGUCGAAGGUAGAAUCAAUGAUUGGGGGUGAAGUCGUAACAAGGUAAC